CACGUAGUUAGCCGUGGCUUCCUCCUCAGGUACCGUCAUUAUCGUCCCUGAAGACAGAGCUUUACAACCCGAAGGCCGUCAUCACUCACGCGGCGUUGCUGCAUCAGGGUUUCCCCCAUUGUGCAAUAUUCCCCACUGCUGCCUCCCGUAGGAGUCUGGGCCGUGUCUCAGUCCCAAUGUGGCCGAUCACCCCCUCAGGUCGGCUACGCAUCGUCGCCUUGGUGAGCCCGUUACCUCACCAACUAGCUAAUGCGCCGCGGGCCCAUCUCAUAGCGGAUUGCUCCUUUAAUGCUACUUCAUGCGAAGCUACAAUCUUAUGCGGUAUUAAUCUCCCUUUCGGAAGGCUAUUCCCCUCUAUGAGGCAGGUUGCCCACGUGUUACUCACCCGUCCGCCGCUAGCUUUGUUCCGAAGAACCUCCACUCGCUCGACUUGCAUGUGUUAGGCACGCCGCCAGCGUUCGUCCUGAGCCAGGAUCGAAACUCU
rnacentral:rRNA from 1 species